rnacentral:rRNA from 1 species
AUCAGCCAAACGACACCAUCCAAGUCACACAAAACGGGAGGCUUCGCUGGCACACUUCUAUUGUGCCUCGUUUUGAACCUUUUCAUGCGCUUCGUUUUGCUGACAAUGGCAACUUGGGUGUC